GAUGAAGAACGUAGUGAAAUGUGAUACUUGGUGUGAAUUGCAGAAUCCCGUGAACCAUCGAGUCUUUGAACGCAAGUUGCGCCCGAAGCCAUUAGGCCGAGGGCACGCCUGCCUGGGCGUCACACGUCGUUGCCCCCCCAUCUACUCCUUCGGGAUUGCGGGGGGCGGAUGAUGGCCUCCCGUGCGCCUCGUCGCGCGGUUGGCAUAAAUGCCAAGUCCUCGGCGACGCACGCCACGACAAUCGGUGGUUGCGAAACCUCGGUUGCCCGUCGUGUGCGGUCGUCGCGCAUCGAGGGCUCGAAAAAAUUGUCGGGCUCCGGCUCGGCUUUCAACGCGACCCCAGGUCAGGCGGGGUUACCCGCUGAAUUUAAGCAUAUCAAUAAGCGGAGGA
rnacentral:misc_RNA from 1 species